rnacentral:rRNA from 1 species
GACGAACGCUGGCGGCGUGCUUAACACAUGCAAGUCGAACGGAAAGGCCCUGCUUUUGUGGGGUGCUCGAGUGGCGAACGGGUGAGUAACACGUGAGUAACCUGCCCUUGACUUUGGGAUAACUUCAUGAAACUGGGGCUAAUACCGGAUAGGAGCUCCUGCUGCAUGGUGGGGGUUGGAAAGUUUCGGCGGUUGGGGAUGGACUCGCGGCUUAUCAGCUUGUUGGUGGGGUAGUGGAUUACCAAGGCUUUGACGGGUAGCCGGCCUGAGAGGGUGACCGGCCACAUUGGGACUGAGAUACGGCCCAGACUCCUACGGGAGGCAGCAGUGGGGAAUAUUGCACAAUGGGCGGAAGCCUGAUGCAGCAACGCCGCGUGCGGGAUGACGGCCUUCGGGUUGUAAACCGCUUUCGCCUGUGACGAAGCGUGAGUGACGGUAAUGGGUAAAGAAGCACCGGCUAACUACGUG